CCCUGCUUCCAGGAAAAGCCUCUAAGCCUCAGGUAACAUCAAAUCGUACCCCAAACCGACACAGGUGGUCAGGUAGAGAAUACCAAGGCGCUUGAGAGAACUCGGGUGAAGGAACUAGGCAAAAUGGUGCCGUAACUUCGGGAGAAGGCACGCUGACACGUAGGUGAAGUGGUUUACCCAUGGAGCUGAAGUCAGUCGAAGAUACCAGCUGGCUGCAACUGUUUAUUAAAAACACAGCACUGUGCAAACACGAAAGUGGACGUAUACGGUGUGACGCCUGCCCGGUGCCGGAAGGUUAAUUGAUGGGGUCAGCGCAAGCGAAGCUCCUGAUCGAAGCCCCGGUAAACGGCGGCCGUAACUAUAACGGUCCUAAGGUAGCGAAAUUCCUUGUCGGGUAAGUUCCGACCUGCACGAAUGGCGUAAUGAUGGCCAGGCUGUCUCCACCCGGGACUCAGUGAAAUUGAACUCGCUGUGAAGAUGCAGUGUACCCGCGGCAAGACGGAAAGACCCCGUGAACCUUUACUAUAGCUUGACACUGAACACUGGUCCUUGAUGUGCAGGAUAGGUGGGAGGCUUUGAAGUGUGGACGCCAGUCUGCAUGGAGCCAUCCUUGAAAUACCACCCUUUAAUGGCUGGUGUUCUAACGUGGGCCCGUGAACCGGGUUGCGGACAGUGUCUGGUGGGUAGUUUGACUGGGGCGGUCUCCUCCUAAAGAGUAACGGAGGAGCACGAAGGUUGGCUAAUCCUGGUCGGACAUCAGGAGGUUAGUGCAAUGGCAUAAGCCAGCUUGACUGCGAGCGUGACGGCGCGAGCAGGUGCGAAAGCAGGUCAUAGUGAUCCGGUGGUUCUGAAUGGAAGGGCCAUCGCUCAACGGAUAAAAGGUACUCCGGGGAUAACAGGCUGAUACCGCCCAAGAGUUCAUAUCGACGGCGGUGUUUGGCACCUCGAUGUCGGCUCAUCACAUCCUGGGGCUGAAGUAGGUCCCAAGGGUAUGGCUGUUCGCCAUUUAAAGUGGUACGCGAGCUGGGUUUAGAACGUCGUGAGACAGUUCGGUCCCUAUCUGCCGUGGGCGCUGGAAGAUUGAGGGGGGCUGCUCCUAGUACGAGAGGACCGGAGUGGACGCAUCACUGGUGUUCGGGUUGUCAUGCCAAUGGCACUGCCCGGUAGCUACAUGCGGAAGAGAUAAGUGCUGAAAGCAUCUAAGCACGAAACUUGCCCCGAGAUGAAUCUUCCCUGAGCCUUUAAGGCUCCUGAAGGAACGUUGAAGACGACGACGUUGAUAGGCCGGGUGUG
rnacentral:rRNA from 1 species